AAAUAAUUCUCUUUGACGUUUUCCAAUGUCAUGGUGUUGCAACUUUUUUGUUCUUGUGCAGUGGGUGGGAGGGGAGUGUUACAGCUCUUUUACUCCCACUGCAGGUGAGCUCCUGAUUCCUGUCCCAUGACCAAGAAGAAUAAGGCACACAGACACCAGAUAGUGAAAUAUCUUCUUCCCAGAAUCCUCCUCCAUUUCUUAUGCAAGUAGAUCACUGAAAAUGACACUCACUGGACAAUUGAACCUUGGGAUGAAAUCAACUUACAGUCUCAAACGAAAACACCUGUUAGGUCAGCCAACUUCUGAGUGUCCUCACUUCCUCUUUAUAGAAUGGAAAUAAAAAUAGCUGCCUUCUGGCAGGAUAUUGUGCUAGAAAGUCAUUUCUUGUUGUCCUAUUCAUUCUUUUAUGUACAUUUAACAAACAUUUUCUGAAAGAAUAUAAUGGACCAAAUUCUAGGCUGGGAAGCAGGAAGAAAAAUAACCAGACUCAGUGCUUGCCCUCAAAUGGACAACAGGUAUGAAUGCAACUUGAAAGUCAUAAUAAUCUGUAAAUAUGAGGCACAAAAUAAUAUUGUAGUGAGGCGCUUUUGUACUUAUACCCUCAAGUAUCUUGAAUAUGGUGGUUAAUUUUCAAUUCUUAUGUAAAAAUGAGUUAAUAAUAUGUUGUUCAGAUAAUUCGAAUUUUCUGUGAACACGUCAUUUUAAGUGUGUAUAAGAG
rnacentral:lncRNA from 1 species